rnacentral:rRNA from 1 species
AUGAAGGCAACAUUACAAACUAUCCUCCCACAUACUCUACAUAAGUUGUGUCGGUGGCAUAUCAUGAAGUAGCCCACAGACCACCUCGCCUUGCCGUAUAAGGCGCACGAGAAACUUAAGGAUGACCUCAAUGCGGUGCUGAACCACCCACUAAUGCCAUCAGAAUUUGAACGAGCGUGGAAGGACCUCAUUCAGAGAUACAACUUGCAAGACGAUGAAGUGAUGAAUUCGCUGUGGGAAGACAGGCACGAGUGGAUCUCGGCUUACUACAAGGAAUUUUUCUAUGCUCGGAUGACUUCCACACAGAGAAGCGAGAGCAUGAACCGCAUACUGAAGAAAAACUUUGUCAAAGAGAAGCAUGAUCUCCAUCUGUUUGCUCAACUGGUGGACAAGUGCAUUCAGACCAGGAAGGUUGUCGAGCAUGCAGAGACAGUAGCAAAUAAGUCAGAGGUAAAGACAACAACCCAGUUUGGGUUCAAAGUUCAGUUAUCAAAAGUGUAUACAAGGGCAGUGUUUGCAGAUUUCAAAGAAACACUCUACCGUAGCACUGCAUUCAGAGCAGAACGGUGCCCUAAGAACCCGAUAAAGUAUCUCGUACACCACUACAACAGAUCGGAUGCAUUUGACUGGGCAAGGCAUAAUUUCCAAGUGGUCGCCGAUGAACAGAAAGGUGUCUAUGAAUGUGAAUGCAAACUCUGGACACACACAGGGCUCUUUUGCGUCCAUGUGUUAUGCAUGCUUUCUCAUGUGAGAGUACUCAAGAUUCCUGAGGUGUACAUCAUGAAAAGAUACACCAACACAAGAUCAAAUGCGACGUUUGAUAGAAGAGACUAUGAACAAGCAACACCAGAUGGAACAUCGCUUUUUUGCCGUAGAAAAUUGCUGACAAAAAUAGCAAUGGACCUUG